AUGCCCCUGGACUUCACCAAGCACUUCGUCGCGGUGCCGACGGAGUUCAAGCUCAGGAACAACACUGGCUGCUCCUGGAAGGUGACGGUGAAGCUGAUGAACAGCAGGGUGACCCUGGAUCAGGGUUGGGCCACCUACGCAGCCGUUCAUCAGAUCAAGAUCGGCUACAUGGUGAGGUUCAAGCUCCUCACUCCAGACACCCUCAAGGUCACCAUCUUCGAUGACGAUUGCAUUGAGGUCGUCAACAAGUGCGGGAAGCACGACGAAGCCUUCGCCGCCAAGGAGUAG
rnacentral:rRNA from 1 species